CCUGCAGCCCCUCCUUUCCCUGGAUAAUUCUGUGACAACGCGGUUUUCGGACACGGGCGACGUGCGUGUGACGGUGCAGGCUGCCUGUGGGAACUCGGUGCUGCAGGACUCCAGGGUCCUCCGUGUGCUGGAUCAAUUUCAAGUCAUGCCUCUGCAGUUUUCCAAGGAGCUGGAUGCCUACAACCCCAACACCCCUGAGUGGAGGGAAGACGUGGGCCUGGUGGUCACCCGGCUGCUCUCCAAGGAGACCAGCGUCCCUCAGGAGCUUCUGGUGACUGUGGUGAAGCCGGGGCUGCCCACUUUGGCCGACCUGUACGUGCUCCUGCCCCCUCCCAGGCCCACAAGGAAGAGGAGCCUCUCGAG
rnacentral:lncRNA from 1 species